AGCCACAAGGAAAGUACAGUGCCAAGCCCGGGAUCGGCGCUGGGUGCGUGACAGGAAGGACGGAUCUCGGCAGAGGUCGAGGCCGAACAAUCCGAGUCCAGGUGCAGACGAUUCUCCCUGAUGGAAUUACAGGAACCUUACGGGAACCGCGGCUUUCAGAUGUAUCAGCCUGGAGAACUCCAGCGAUCCCAAUCUCGGGUCGUUACCGGAAUGAUCAACGCUUAGGGUUCCAGUAUCACCUCGCAGAACGAAGGAGGAUCUCCGGGCGAGCCACAUGUAUUAAAUUGUAAAUGAGGCUUUGUCCAAUAAACCGGGUUUUUGGUGUAACAGAUAUGUGUGUGUGUCGGGGGGGUGGGGGUGGGGUGGAGGGUGUGGGGGCAGCUCUCAUUGCUGGCGUGUUCUUUGCAAUAAAAUUAUCCAUAUCAAAUUGUAAGAGAAGGGUGACCUAUUUGUUCGAUGCAGCUGCAGAUGGUAAUUUGUUUCAAGGAUAUAAUGUAAGGAAGUUUGUUUUUACAGCGGUAAUAGGCAAUAGGCUGUGAAUUGCUGGUAACACGCAUUCCUAAGCUUUUACAGCAGUAGUAGGCAAUAGGCUUUGCAUUGCUUAACUGAUAACACGCAUUUCUAAGAUAACACGUAUUCUUGAGACUGUGAGAAUCCCCAGAUCAAAGGACACCUGUGAGGAAGACAACCAGCCUUCAUCCCACGACCACCAGGAGGCAGAAAACGACCACCUAGCAACAGAAUGCGACUGCGCAGAAGAAACGAGUGAACUAAGGAAGAAGAUAAAAAGAGCGAACUAGGGCACCAGAAGCGCGGCAGUUUGGUGGAGCGGUAGCUCCCCUCUGUCGCCGCAGCGCUGCUUUGCUUUGCUCUCAUAUACUCUAUUAAAUGAAUUAAAUAAAUUCUGUUAAUUGGA